GGUGAAGGUAUACAAAGAGAAUAAACUAUAAAAAGAGUAAUGGACAUCAUUAUCCUAUUCCUAUGUAUGUAUGUGGUAGACUUUAGGGUUUCAUAGGUUUAGCCAAAUCGUCUUACACGCGAGGAAUGAAGAGGUAAUGCUAUCUUUUGGACUAGUAAUCUUAUUAUAUAAAGUAUGGUUUUCAAAGUUGCUAACUCAUAGGAUCGUGCCACGUGUCAAGUCAAACGAUCAGAUGUUUACAUGUGUCAUUUAAAAUUUAACUUUUUUAUU
rnacentral:sRNA from 1 species